GGAAGGAUCAUUAUUGAAAUAAACCUGAUGGGUUGUUGCUGGUUCUCUAGGGAGCAUGUGCACGCCUUGUCAUCUUUAUAUAUCUCCACCUGUGCACUUUUUGUAGACCUUUCAGGUCUAUGUUGAUUCAUUUACCCCAAUGUAUGUUAAUGGAAUGUGUGUGCCUAUUAUAAUAUAUACAACUUUCAGCAACGGAUCUCUUGGCUCUCGCAUCGAUGAAGAACGCAGCGAAAUGCGAUAAGUAAUGUGAAUUGCAGAAUUCAGUGAAUCAUCGAAUCUUUGAACGCACCUUGCGCUCCUUGGUAUUCCGAGGAGCAUGCCUGUUUGAGUGUCAUUAAUAUAUAUCAAACCUUCUCUUUUUGAAUGGUUUGGAUGUGGGGGGAUUUGCUGGCCUCUUAGAGGUUCAGCUCCCCUGAAAUGCAUUAGCAGUACAACCUUCUUCAUUGGCGUGAUAACUAUCAAUGCUAUUGAAUGUGGGGGACAGUUCAGCUUUCUUAACAGUCUCUUGGACAAAUCAUCAUUAAUGUGACCUCAAAUCAGGUAGGACUACCCGCUGAACUUAAGCAUAUCAAUAAGC
rnacentral:sRNA from 1 species